AUCUCUGGGUAGCUGAAUGUUAGAAGUUCUGCAUUUGAAUCAAAACUCUGUCAUUUAUUGAACAAGUCACAUAAUAUAGCAGAGUCACAAUUGUCUCAUUUAUAAAAUGAGAGAAAUAAAAAUACAUAGAAUGCUGCUCAGAGGAUUAGAUGACUUAAAAGUCAAAAUAAAAACAAACCAGUAUAUUGUAAUGAGGCAGAUAAAACCGUUUUUGGAAAACAGAGGUACUGUUCAUUUUUAAUGCAGGGUAAACCUUCAAUAUUCAAUAACAGUGUGUUUCCAUGUUAACAAUGAUUGGAUGUACUGGGAACCAGGCCUGAGUGAAGAGUG
rnacentral:lncRNA from 10 species